AUUGAACGCUGGCGGCAUGCCUUACACAUGCAAGUCGAACGGUAACACGGGGCAACCUGGCGACGAGUGGCGAACGGGUGAGUAAUGUAUCGGAACGUGCCCAGUUGUGGGGGAUAACUGCUCGAAAGAGCAGCUAAUACCGCAUACGACCUGAGGGUGAAAGCGGGGGAUCGCAAGACCUCGCGCAAUUGGAGCGGCCGAUAUCAGAUUAGGUAGUUGGUGGGGUAAAGGCCUACCAAGCCUACGAUCUGUAGCUGGUCUGAGAGGACGACCAGCCACACUGGGACUGAGAAACGGCCCAGACUCCUACGGGAGGCAGCAGUGGGGAAUUUUGGACAAUGGGGGAAACCCUGAUCCAGCCAUGCCGCGUGCGGGAAGAAGGCCUUCGGGUUGUAAACCGCUUUUGUCAGGGAAGAAAUCCUUUGAACUAAUACUUCGGAGGGAUGACGGUACCUGAAGAAUAAGCACCGGCUAACUACGUGCCAGCCGCCGCAGUAA
rnacentral:rRNA from 1 species